UCUUUGCACAAUAUUUUACUUAAAUAACAUCUUUCUGCCUGUCAUUGAUUCCUUUUAUUUAGUUUUUGUCAGCUAAAAACUUGAUUGGUUUUCCAACUUUUGUUGAAAGCAGAGCCUUAGAAACCACUGGACUUCCCAGAUGUUUUACCCAGACACUUGGGGUCAUUCCCUUUUCUUUUUCUAGGAAAUUUACCAAAAACCACUACCCAGGUACAUUUGUGAUGUCUGUUGCUCUUCGUUUGAAGGCAUAUUUGCCAAUACAGUUUUUUAAAGUUAAAAACUCACUACUGGGUAUAAAUGUUUUUGUCAGACCUUGUACAACCACAGAUUGAAAUCACUAAAUUUAUAGGAUAUGUUCUAAAUAACCCACUUGUUGAAUGCAGACCUCACUGUCAAGCCAGUCAGCCAAAUUACAGUUAACCCUGUCCAAAAAAAGAUCUGGAAGAAUAUGAACCAUUGAAAAAUGGCACACUGCUAUGGAUUUUUAGGGUUUGGCUGUGGUGCACCGCCCCCCCCUUGCAAAAACAAAAACAAAAACUGUGGCCAUGCAGGAAUGCUCAAAGGUGAAAUGAUUAGAUUAUGAGAGCUGUGACCUGAUCAGUGGGUUAAUCCAAGUGAUAGAGUAAUCAUUUGAAUGGCCUAAUCUGGUGUUAACUAGGGCAGGUGGGCAUGGCUAGAGGAAGUGGGUCUCUAGGGAUGUGCCUUGGGGAUUAUAUAUCUUGUCCCUCUGCUUCCUUGUUGCCUGUCCUAAGCUGCUUUCCUUCCCCACACCCUUCUGCCAUGAUGUUCUGUCUCACCUUGGGCCCAGAGCUGUGGAGUUGGCUGACCGUAGACUGAACCUCUGAAACCAUUAGCCCAGAUAAACUUCUCCCUCUAAAUUGUUUUUGUUAGGUAUUUUGGUCACAGAGAGCAAAGCUGACUGUUACUUGGACGUGAGGUAUCCCCCAAAAGUUCACAUGUGAGACAGUGCAAGAACAAGAGGAGAAAUGAUUGGUUGAAAGAGUCUUAACCCAAUCAGUGCCUUAAUCCUCUGAUAGGGAUUAACUGAGUGGUAACUGGAGUAGUAGGGUGUGGCUUGGCGUGUAUAUUUGUGUCUGGCCAAUGGAGUCUCUCUCUGCUUUUUGAUCAUCAUGUGAGAUGAUUCCCUCUGCCACACUCUUCUACCAUGAUGUUCGGCCUCACCUAGAACACUGAGGAAUGGAUCUGGCCUUUUAUGAACGAAGACCUCAGAAAUUAUCCCCCUCCUCCUGUUGGUGAGGGGAGCCUGCCGCCCAGCAGACCACAGCCCCCAUUUGCUGUAGUGACUGCUGCAGCAUGGGUCAGCGCCUCAGGCAGGACCUGUCUUCCCAGGCCUUCUGCUUCCUUCCCAGGAAGUAGAGAGGGAGCCCCAGAAGCCAGCCUGCCCCCUCCAGAGCAUGUCCUCCCAGCCCAUCUCCUCUCCUGCUCCACCCUCCUGCUUCUGCACUCCUCCCCAGCUCCUAAGGCCUCACACCACGUGCACUGCAAGCAGCCACCUGCCUUACCUGCCCUGUGAGGACCCCCCACUCCUGGGCCACACUUUCUCAUGCCCUAAGUGUCUGGGCAGGCUUUGUUUUUGGCACUGGAGCCUAAAGGUCUUGAUGAGACUGAAGUGGCACUGCCACCAGAGGAGCCAGUCCUGCCCAGAGAAACAAUAAUUUGCUGAAUGGCAAUGAAUUCACACCUGCCAUUCAGGGGCUGCCAUUCACUGAACACCUGCAGGUCACCUGAUAGGCAGGCAACUGCUGAAUCUUUCAUCCCAUUCCAAUAUGAAUUUCUAAUAUUGAUUCUGCCGGUUAUCGUGACGAAUUCAGCUUCCUCACAUGUUGAAGAUUUACAUCCCAAAUGAAGGCUUUGUCCUCUGCAACCUUGUUAUGAAGCACUCAUCCCCAGAUGACUUUACGACUGUUCUUCCCCAACCAGACUUCAAUCCGACCUGACUUCCAAAAGGGAACUGCUUGCCCCACACUGCCCCCUUCCAGCUUGAAGAAGCCAGAACAGUCGUUGUCCCUUUUCCUUACAGCAGUAAGGAGCUCCUAAAAUCGGGUGGGGGUGUAGCCAGAAUUAGACAGGCUGUCAGUAUAGAUGGGUAAAUCGAGUCAGGUCAGAUCACGGAAGCCAAUUUUGAGUGAGUCUGGGAAGUUGGAGACUGUCCCCUGAAGGAUUGAGAUGUUAAUUCUUUCAGAGCCCUUCCUCCACCCUUAUCAAGAACUUCCCCCUGCUCCACUGUUGCCAAGGUAACGAGUCCCAGAAAUUGCCCCUCCCUACAGGAAGCCAUAAGGUUGUCCUUGACUGCUCCAUCCUGCCCUUCCCCCUCAGCCCACCUGUUUCCCACCUUUUGGGCAUCCCACCAGCAUUUCCUAGGCUUACUCACAUACUCAGAAGAAAGAUAAGGGGAAGAGGGCAGGAGAAGAAAGGAAAUCUAGGACAUAUAAAGAAGGCAGAACACGGGAGAAGUCUGUUACCGCUUUUUAAAUAAACCCUACUUCACAUGCUUG